rnacentral:lncRNA from 1 species
CCGCACUUCACUGACGCUAGAGACAACCAUUCCUCUCCUCAAUCGGCGACAUCUGCUUUGACUGGAACUCUCUUCAAGUUUCAAGAUCUUUUAUGUGCAUGUUCUUAAAGAAUUUUAGAAUUUAUGGACUAUUAAUCUGAUUAUUUGGAUAUGUUAAAAAAUCUAAUUAUUUGCUAUUUGAUUAAUGUAAUACUGUUGAUUUUAGAAUUUAUGGACAAUUAAUCUGAUUAUUUGAUUAUAAAUCAUUAUUUGCUGGGUUGCUGAGUUGCUGGUUCUUGUCAUUGAACAUUUCUCCUCCUACUGGGUUGUGCAACUGUUAGGUAGUUUAUUUGGUAGUUUUUGUCAUUGAAUUGAAUUAAAAAAA